CACGUAGGGGGCAAGCGUUGUCCGGAUUUACUGGGCGUAAAGAGCUCGUAGGCGGCUUGGCAAGUCGGGUGUGAAAACUCCAGGCUCAACCUGGAGACGCCACCCGAUACUGCCAUGGCUAGAGUCCGGUAGGGGACCACGGAAUUCCUGGUGUAGCGGUGAAAUGCGCAGAUAUCAGGAGGAACACCGGUGGCGAAGGCGGUGGUCUGGGCCGGAACUGACGCUGAGGAGCGAAAGCGUGGGGAGCGAACAGG
rnacentral:rRNA from 1 species